rnacentral:rRNA from 1 species
GGAAUGGCUUCCACGCUGAAAGCUCCGGCGCUCCAGGAUGGGUCUGCGGCCUAUCAGGCUGUAGUGGGUGUAACGGACCCACUAACCUACGACGGGUAGGGGCGUUGAGAGACGGAGCCCCCAGAUGGAUUCUGAGACACNNNNNNAGGCCCUACGGGGCGCAGCAGCUACGAAAANNNCACAAUGUGGGAAACCACGAUGCNNGCAUUCCGAGUGCCAACGCUUUGCGUUGGCUGUUCUCCCGCCUAAAAAGCAGGAGAAGUAAGGGCCGGGUAAGACGGGUGCCAGCCGCCGCGGUAAUACCCGCGGCCCGAGUGGUGCUCAUUAUUAUUGAGCUUAAAGCGUCCGUAGCCGGCCUCGUAAAUCUUUGGGUAAAUCGGGCAGCUCAACUGUUCGAAUUCCGAGGAGACUGCGAGGCUCGGGACCGGGAGAGGUCAGAGGUACUCUCGGGGUAGGGGUAAAAUCCUGUAAUCCUGAGAGGACCACCAGUGGCGAAGGCGUCUGACUAGAACGGAUCCGACGGUGAGGGACGAAGCCCUGGGGCGCAAACGGGA